rnacentral:rRNA from 1 species
GUAGUCCACGCUGUAAACGAUGGGUACUAGGUUAGGUGGGUAUUGACCCCUGCCGAGCCGGAGCUAACGCAAUAAGUACCCCGCCUGGGAAGUACGGUCGCAAGACUAAAACUCAAAGGAAUUGACGGGGGCCCGCACAAGCGGUGGAUCAUGUGGUUUAAUUCGAAGCAACGCGAAGAACCUUACCUGGGUUUGACAUCUCCUGACAGCCGUAGAAAUACGGUCUCUGUAGCAAUACAGCAGGAAGACAGGUGCUGCAUGGCUGUCGUCAGCUCGUGUGGUGACAUGUUGGGUUAAGUCCCGCAACGAGCGCAACCCUUGUCCUUAGUUGCCAGCAUUAAGUUGGGCUCUCUAAGGAGACUGCCGUGGUUAACACGGA